rnacentral:rRNA from 1 species
UACGGAGGGUGCGAGCGUUGUCCGGAAUCACUGGGCGUAAAGGGCGCGUAGGUGGCUUUUCAAGCGCGCGGUGAAAGCCCGGGGCUCAACCCCGGGUCGGCCGUGCGGACUGGGAGGCUUGAGCACUGUAGGGGCGGGGGGAAUUCCGGGUGUAGCGGUGGAAUGCGUAGAGAUCCGGAAGAACACCGGUGGCGAAGGCGGCCCGCUGGGCAGGAAGGCUCGCAAGAGCCGGCUGACACUGAGGCGCGACAGCGUGGGGAGCAAACAGG